AAACUAACAAGGAUUCCCCUAGUAACGGCGAGUGAAGAGGGAAGAGCCCAAGAUUGAAAGCUGGCGCCUUCGGCGUCCGCAUUGUAAUCUCAAGAAGUGUUUUCCGCUUCGGACCAUGCCUAAGUCCCUUGGAAAAGGGCAUCAUAGAGGGUGAUAAUCCCGUACAUGGCAUGGAGCGCCCGAAGCUUUGUGAUACGCUUUCUAAGAGUCGAGUUGUUUGGGAAUGCAGCUCAAAAUGGGUGGUAAAUGCCAUCUAAGGCUAAAUAUUGGGGAGAGACCGAUAGCGAACAAGUACAGUGAUGGAAAGAUGAAAAGAACUUUGAAAAGAGAGUUAAACAGUACGUGAAAUUGCCAAAAGGGAAGGGUAGGAGGUCAGAGAUGCGUCGCAGGAUUCAGCCUUGCUUUUGCUUGGUGUUUUUCCUGCGUUGCAGGCCAACGUCGGUUUUGGGCACUGGAGAAGGGUAGGAGGAACGUGGCACCUCUCGGGGUGUGUUAUAGCCUCCUACUGGAUACAGCGACCGAGACCGAGGAACGCAGCGUACUCGUAAGAGCGGGCCUUUUGGCACCUUUACGCUUAGGGCGUUGGCAUAAUGCCCUCUACCACCCGUCUUGA
rnacentral:rRNA from 1 species